rnacentral:rRNA from 1 species
GGUGGGAGACUGUGAAGCGGCCACGCCAGUGGCGGUGGAGUCAACGUUGAAAUACCACUCUGGUCGUACUGGACAUCUAACCUAGGACCGUGAUCCGGUUCAGGGACAGUGCCUGGUGGGUAGUUUAACUGGGGCGGUUGCCUCCUAAAGAGUAACGGAGGCGCCCAAAGGUUCCCUCAGCCUGGUUGGCAAUCAGGUUUUGAGUGUAAGUGCACAAGGGAGCUUGACUGUGAGACAGACAUGUCGAGCAGGGACGAAAGUCGGGACUAGUGAUCCGGCACCUCAUUGUGGAAUGGGUGUCGCUCAACGGAUAAAAGGUACCCCGGGGAUAACAGGCUGAUCUUGCCCAAGAGUCCAUAUCGACGGCAUGGUUUGGCACCUCGAUGUCGGCUCCUCGCAUCCUGGGGCGGGAGUACGUCCCAAGGGGU